AUUAAAAACUUCUGAUAAAAUUACCUAAGUACACACAAACAAAAACAUGCCCACACAAAUCACUUAAUUUCUAAAACUUUUAAUUUUUCUGCUUCUCUAGUACCUUGUAUUCCAUCACACAGCAAAAUCUGGCAGCUCCACUUCCAGAAUUUACUUGAACUCCACAGCUUAUUUCCGAUUUCCUGUUAUCACCAGAGUCUAAAACACAGUUUAUAUUGCAUUCACCUCCUAUUUUACACCGUAAUUUCCUACUUUACACUCUAACUUUAUAUAAAAAAGAAACUACCUUUUCAAGAUCUAAUUCACGCAAUUUUAUUUGUUCUUAAUUGAGACUUCUUUCUAGGUGCUGUCACACCUUGUAACGUCAGAUACAAAUGUCUCUAUCCAAUUUCAUGAGUUCCAGUUAUUUUAUUUUAAGGGAAUGUGUAUAUACAUUUAUAAAUUUGUGUAUGUGUGUAUUCACUUAUUCUUUAUUUUAUAUGUUUUGCAUGCAUAUAUUCACUAAAUCCCUGAUAAUGGAAAGAUAACAAAUCUUUUUUUUUCUUUCUUUUUUGUAUGUAAAUUAUUUUCCGAAGGAGGUGGGUUGGGAGAAAUAUAUCUUAACUUGGCAAGUUUAAAAGAGAAAGUGGCCAUUACUAAUGAAAAUUAUUCUCUAGCAUUUUCAUGUUUAUCUUUAAUAGCAUUGCUGAUGACAUAUUCCCUCUUAUCAGUUGUGUAGGUGCCAUUCACUGCAAUAUACUGGCCAUCCGCACUGGCAACGACUUUGCUGCCAUUAAGCUACAGGUGAUAAAAUUGAUCUAUCUCAUGAUAUGGCAUUCGUUGGUGAUUAUCUCACCUGUAGUGACUCUGGCAUUCUUCCCUGCAUCUCUGAAACAGGGGAGCUUACACUUUCUAUUAAUCAUAUAUUUUGUAUUAUUGUUGACACCAUGGCUGGAGUUUUCGAAAAGUGGAACUCAUCUUCCUAGCAACACAAAAAAUAAUUCCAGCAUGGUGGGUAAGUAUGGAUGCUUAUCUUAAUCAUGCUAGUAUAUGCUGCCAUCAAUUCUCCUGCUUGUCAGCAGUGAAACUGCAGCUGUCAAAUGAGGAAUUGAUAAGAGACACGAGGUGGGACAUACAAUCCUACACUACAGAUUUCAGUUUUUAGAAAAUGUGAUAAUAAUAUUGAUAUUUAGUUUCUUUGGAGGGAACGUUUUACCGAAGUGUUGUGACUCAAUAAUUGCCGUGUAGUUCAUCAAAACCUACAUAUUAGCCUUUGGCUUUAAGCUCCGCUUCUGUCAGUAUUUGCAACCAAGGUGGUCGGGCAAAGUAUUGCCAGGAGAUACUGAAAAUCAUCCAGAAGCACUGUGAUAUUGUGUAAGCAUCUGGAGAAAAUUCAGUUAAAAGAAUAAAAGUAAGCAGCUGAGGAAUUACUAUCACUCAUGGAGAAGGGUAGGAUAUUUUCAAUAAGUGAGUAUGCAAUAUCCAUAUAUACUUUCACAGAACAAAGAGUAAAGAGGCUGAGUGUGACUUUAUAAAGAUACUCAUAAAAAAUAUAAACAACAAAACCUUGGAAGUAGUUUCUAAUAAAAUUGAUUUUUCUAA
ensembl:lncRNA XKRY XK related, Y-linked (pseudogene)